AAUGGAUACAGUCUAAGUACAAAAUUGAGUAAAAAAGGUUUACAAUUUCGAGAUUAAGUUAUAAGGAAGAUCAACCUAAGGAAAUCUAAAUGGGAUUCUUCAUUCUUCCUUCACUCUACAAUGUAAGAUCGUUCAUACUUUUCCCAAGAUAUUACCAGUUUUUCUCCCCACUAGCUGUAUAUAUAGUAUGUAGAUGAUAACCAGUUUUCAGAAAAUCAGUUUAAGUGAAAGACAUGGAUUUGAAACCAAUUCCAUAUGUGAUUGACCUCAAUGUU
rnacentral:lncRNA from 1 species